GAUGAACGCUGGCGGCGUGCCUAAUACAUGCAAGUCGAGCGAACAGACGAGGAGCUUGCUCCUCUGACGUUAGCGGCGGACGGGUGAGUAACACGUGGAUAACCUACCUAUAAGACUGGGAUAACUUCGGGAAACCGGAGCUAAUACCGGAUAAUAUAUUGAACCGCAUGGUUCAAUAGUGAAAGACGGUUUUGCUGUCACUUAUAGAUGGAUCCGCGCCGCAUUAGCUAGUUGGUAAGGUAACGGCUUACCAAGGCAACGAUGCGUAGCCGACCUGAGAGGGUGAUCGGCCACACUGGAACUGAGACACGGUACAGACUCCUACGGGAGGCAGCAGUAGGGAAUCUUCCGCAAUGGGCGAAAGCCUGACGGAGCAACGCCGCGCGAGUGAUGAAGGUCUUCGGAUCGUAAAACUCUGUUAUUAGGGAAGAACAAAUGUGUAAGUAACUAUGCACGUCUUGACGGUACCUAAUCAGAAAGCCACGGCUAACUACGUG
rnacentral:rRNA from 1 species